AGGCUUCGGCCUUAGUGGCGCACGGGUGCGUAACGCGUGGGAAUCUGCCCUUGGGUACGGAAUAACAGCGAGAAAUUACUGCUAAUACCGUAUGAUGACGUAAGUCCAAAGAUUUAUCGCCCAAGGAUGAGCCCGCGUAGGAUUAGCUUGUUGGUGAGGUAAAGGCUCACCAAGGCGACGAUCCUUAGCUGGUCUGAGAGGAUGAUCAGCCACACUGGGACUGAGACACGGCCCAGACUCCUACGGGAGGCAGCAGUGGGGAAUAUUGGACAAUGGGCGAAAGCCUGAUCCAGCAAUGCCGCGUGAGUGAUGAAGGCCUUAGGGUUGUAAAGCUCUUUUGCCCGGGAAGAUAAUGACUGUACCGGGAGAAUAAGCCCCGGCUAACUCCGUGCCAGCAGCCGCGGUAAUACGGAGGGGGCUAGCGUUGUUCGGAAUUACUGGGCGUAAAGCGCACGUAGGCGGUCUAUCAAGUCAGAGGUGAAAGCCCGGAGCUCAACUUCGGAAUUGCCUUUGAAACUAGUAGACUUGAAUCACGGAGAGGUGGGUGGAAUUCCGAGUGUAGAGGUGAAAUUCGUAGAUAUUCGGAAGAACACCAGUGGCGAA
rnacentral:rRNA from 1 species